rnacentral:rRNA from 1 species
CCUACGGGUGGCAGCAGUGGGGAAUAUUGCACAAUGGGGGAAACCCUGAUGCAGCGACGCCGCGUGAAGGAAGAAGUAUUUCGGUAUGUAAACUUCUAUCAGCAGGGAAGAAAAUGACGGUACCUGACUAAGAAGCCCCGGCUAACUACGUGCCAGCAGCCGCGGUAAUACGUAGGGGGCAAGCGUUAUCCGGAUUUACUGGGUGUAAAGGGAGCGUAGGCGGCUUAGCAAGUCAGAAGUGAAAGCCCGGGGCUCAACUCCGGGACUGCUUUUGAAACUGUUGAACUAGAGUGCAGGAGGGGUAAGUGGAAUUCCUAGUGUAGCGGUGAAAUGCGUAGAUAUUAGGAGGAACACCAGUGGCGAAGGCGGCUUACUGGACUGUAAAUGACGCUGAGGCUCGAAAGCGUGGGGAGCAAACAGGAUUAGAUACCCCUGUAGUC